UACGUAGGUGGCAAGCGUUGUCCGGAAUUACUGGGUGUAAAGGGAGCGCAGGCGGGAAGCCAAGUCAGCUGUGAAAACUACGGGCUUAACUUGUAGACUGCAGUUGAAACUGGUUUUCUUGAGUGAAGUAGAGGUUGGUGGAAUUCCGAGUGUAGCGGUGAAAUGCGUAGAUAUUCGGAGGAACACCGGUGGCGAAGGCGGCCAACUGGGCUUUAACUGACGCUGAGGCUCGAAAGUGUGGGGAGCAAACAGG
rnacentral:rRNA from 1 species